rnacentral:rRNA from 1 species
UACGUAGGCAGCGAGCGUUGUUCGGAAUUACUGGGCGUAAAGGGCUCGUAGGCGGCCAACUAAGUCAGACGUGAAAUCCCUCGGCUUAACCGGGGAACUGCGUCUGAUACUGGAUGGCUCGAGUUUGGGAGAGGGAUGCGGAAUUCCAGGUGUAGCGGUGAAAUGCGUAGAUAUCUGGAGGAACACCGGUGGCGAAGGCGGCAUCCUGGACCAACACUGACGCUGAUGAGCGAAAGCCAGGGGAGCAAACGGGG